rnacentral:rRNA from 1 species
UACAGAGGUCCCAAGCGUUGUUCGGAUUCACUGGGCGUAAAGGGUGCGUAGGCGGUCGGAUAAGUCUGAUGUGAAAUCUUCGAGCUCAACUCGGAAACUGCAUCGGAAACUAUUCGGCUGGAGGAUUGGAGGGGAGACUGGAAUUCUCGGUGUAGUGGUGGAAUGCGUAGAUAUCGGGAGGAACACCAGUGGCGAAGGCGGCUUCCUGGACCUGCUCUGACACUGAGGAGCGAAAGCGUGGGGAGCGAUCCGG